GAAGAAAAUGAAUCUUUAGAAACCCCAGCCUGGCGUAUUUGGUGCUCCAGCAAAAGUCGUGAAUAUGCAGUCCUGCCUCUGCAUAACUGCUUGAACUGUGGUGACUUCAGUGGCUCUGCUCUGCCCAUCAGACUCACUGCUGCCCCUUGCCAUAGUGAUGGGAAAGUUGGUGCACUGCCUGCCUUUUUUCCUGCUCCCUCUUCUUCCCCAGUCUCAGGACAGCCAGCCCAACCUCAGAUUCAUUUGCAUCCAAGGAAGACUGAGAAAAUGUUGCAGCUGUGCGAAGAAGGGGGAUCCAGCCUGAAGGCUCUGGAUGUCUGCCACUGGAAUACAUCAGGGCCCGGCACCCAGGCCCUGGGGUGGGUGAAGGCAGAGCCACACCAUACCAGAUGGACCUUUGAGUUCACAAAAUCGGGAUGGAGAAGGAGGAUGAUCCACCAUUUUCUUCAGCCCAGUUUUCAAAUGUGCUCUUUCCCAACAUUAAUACGCAGUGUAACGUGA
rnacentral:lncRNA from 1 species